rnacentral:lncRNA from 1 species
UUUCUCCAUCAUCACACCCUUAUGCAUCUGCAGGUUAUCCUUCCCAAGACUACCCGUCUUUCCAGGACUACCAUCCUCCUCCACCUUCCCAAGACUACCAUCCUCCUCCACCUUCCCAAGACUUCCAGCCUCGUCCACCUUCCCAAGAUUACCAGCCCCCUCCACCUUCCCAAGAUUACCAGCCCCCUCCACCUUCCCAAGAUUAUCAUUCUCCUCCAUCUUCCCAAGAUUACCAUCCUCCUCCGCCUAUGAGA